CCAUCUCCAGGAAGAAGUUGAGGCCUAUAGAAUAGUUGUCGUCUCUGUCACGAUUGAUGAAGAAUUUCAAGGUCAAUGGACCCAAAGUCUUGCCUUGAAGCCUGAAGGUCAAUGCUGUUUAGAAUGUUCAAUCAAAUGGCAUCUAUUCUUAUCUUCAAAGCAAAAAGCUUUCAGACUAUACAUCCAUGGACAUGGAUAUCCUUUCUUUCAGUGCUUGUUUCCUCAUCAUCUUCACCAAAGCUUCCAGCGCACCCGACAGGAUUUCUCCGUCUGAGUCACUCACUGAUGGCACGACCUUGGUCUCUAGUGAUGGAAGCUUUGUAUUGGGUUUCUUCACUCCGGGGAGUUCUAAGAAUCGUUACUUGGGAAUUUGGUACAAUAACAUCCCCAUGCAAACUGUUGUAUGGGUUGCAAACAGGAUAAAUCCGAUAAAUGACACCACUGGCUUGCUGCAGAUAGAAAGCACUGGCAGAGUCGUGCUUCUAGGUCAGAACCAAACAACUGUUUGGUCAAUUAAUUCCACAGAAGCAGCUCAGAAUCCGAUUCUGCAGCUCCUGGAUUCAGGCAAUCUUGUUGUCAGAAAUGGAAAAGAUGGUGAUUCAGAGAACUACUUGUGGCAAAGCUUUGAUUAUCCAACUGAUACAAUGUUACCGGCGAUGAAGAUUGGUUGGGACCUGAGAACUAAUUUAAAUCGAAGACUAGCAGCAUGGAAGAACUCAGAUGAUCCAUCUCCUGGGGACCUUACUUAUGGGGUGGAACUCCAAGGCAAUCCAGAGGUGGUGCUGCGGAAAGGCUCAGAAAAGUACCAUCGCAGUGGCCUCUGGAAUGGCGAUGGAUUUAGUGGUGCACAAAAUUUAAGAUCAAAUCCGGUCUAUGAGUACGACUUUGUCUGGAAUGAGGAGGAGGUGUACUACAUAAAUUACCUCAAAAAUAAAUCGGUGAUGUCAAGGUUAGUUUUGAACCAAACUGAAAAGGUUAGACAGCGGUACACAUGGAACCCAGAAACUCAAACUUGGAUGUUGAUUUCCAUCAUGCCAAGUGACUGUUGUGACAUACUUGGACUUUGUGGUGCAAAUGGGAACUGCGAUAAUUCCACGCUUCCAGCUUGCCAAUGUUUGAAAGCAUUCAGGCCUAAAUCGCUGGAAAGAUGGAACUCCUUAGACUGGUCUGAAGGGUGUAUACACAAUAAGCCAUUAAACUGCCAAAGCGGAGAUGGAUUUAUUAGAAUUGAGAGGGUGAAAACGCCAGAUACCUCACAUUCUUGGGUGAGCAAAAGUAUGAAUCUCGAGGAAUGCAGGGCUAAGUGCUUGCAGAACUGUUCUUGUAUGGCAUACACUAAUUUAGAUAUUAGAGGAGGAGGUAGCGGCUGCGCCAUGUGGUUUGGUGAUCUAAUUGAUAUUAAACAAUUUCAAUCAUUUGGCCAGGAUCUUUACAUCAGAGUCUCUGCUUCAGAAGCAGGUAUCAGUUUAAAAUCGGAACAUUUUCUUGUUACAGCUUGUGAUAAUUUCUUUUGGAAAUUGUUUAAUUAUACUUGGGCUCCUUCAUCAAUAAUGAUCAUGCAGAACUGAAAAACAAGGCUAAGGCGAAGCUGGCCGUGAUAAUUGCAACACCAAUUGCUAUGUUCUUGGGGCUUCUUGUAGUCAUUUAUUACAUCCGGAGAAGGAGAAGAAAAUUAGAAGGUAAUAUCAACUAUGGUCCUCAUUAAAGCAGGGGAAAGUUGGUAUUUGAUACAAAUACCAAAAUCGUUUCUGCUCACAGCACCGCUAUCAGAUCCCUGCCCUGUUUUCAAGAAAACAGUAAUACUAAAAUUUGUCAUUUCUCUUAUCAAAUUUGAUAAUACAUGGUUUUCAAUUUUGUUUUAUGAUCUGACAAAAAAGUGAGUCCAUGAACAAUUGGUUCGAUAUUUUUGGUUUUGGUGUUCAGAAGAAGCAUACAGCUUUUGUCUAUCUAAAUCUAUCAAUAUGCAUGAGAAAGCGUAUCUCUGUGUUGAAUGCUAGCCUAUUUUGACUACUGUUUCAGAUGAAGUUAAAGAAAGGAUUUUAAAUGAUCAAAAGAACCAAGGCCAGAGUGAAGAUAUGGAGCUUGCUGUAUUCGAGCUAGCUACGAUAGCCAGAGCUACUGGUAGUUUUUCUUUUAAUAACAAGCUAGGUGAAGGAGGUUUUGGACCUGUUUAUAAGGUAAAAGUAAGCACAUAUUACUAAAGUGAUCUCAAGCACGGAGAAUUCAUCUUUAUUGAAAGCUCAUCAAAAUAUUCCUAGUCUCCAGGGGACACUUGCAAAUGGACAAGAAAUUGCUGUGAAAAGACUUUCAAAGAGUUCCGGACAAGGAUUGAACGAGUUUAAAACUGAAGUAAAGUUGAUUGCCAAACUUCAGCAUCGGAAUCUUGUAAGGCUUCUUGGGUGCUGCAUUCAUGGAGAGGAGAAAAUGCUGGUUUAUGAAUACAUGCCUAACAGAAGUCUUGACUCAUUUAUUUUUGGUCAGAAACCUUUCAAUUUUAUAUUGUCUGCUCUCGGCUUGUGAAAUAGUUUUCUUUUGCUGCUUCAAAGGAUCAAAUAGAUAUAGAAUUAACAUGAAGGCAGUACUUGACAGAUCAAAGAAGGUGCAAAGUAUUAGAUUGGCCCAAGCGUUUCCAAAUUAUCUGUGGGAUUGCUAGGGGACUACUCUACCUUCAUCAAGAUUCCAGAUUGAGGAUUAUUCAUAGAGAUCUAAAAGCUAGUAAUGUUUUGCUUGAUAGUGAGAUGAACCCAAAAAUUUCAGAUUUUGGCAUGGCAAGACUUUUGGAGGAGACCAGACUGAAGCCAAUACCAACAGAGUGGUUGGAACUUAGUAAGUCUACUUUUUCUGCAAAUUUGAUCUAUAAAUGCCCAUGAAACUCUUAUCUGACAAUGUUUUGCAGUGGUUAUAUGGCACCAGAAUAUGCUAUCGAUGGGCUGUUUUCGGUAAAAUCAGAUGUGUUUAGCUUUGGCAUAUUGUUGUUGGAGAUAAUAAGUGGAAGAAAGAAUAGAGGAUUAUAUCAUCAAAAUCAAAAUGGCAACCUUAUUGAACAUGUAAGCCUGAUUGUCAUUAUCUUUUAUUACAUAUUUUGAACCGAUGAAUGAUAAAAGAAUUUCAUUUUGCUGCAGGCAUGGAGAUUAUGGAAAGAAGGCAGGCCUUUGGAUCUUGUUGAUGAGUUCUUAGCAGAGACCGGCAGUCUAUCACAGGUGUUACGAUGCAUCCACAUUAGCCUUUUUUGUGUACAACAACAUCCUAAGGAGAGGCCAAGCAUGUCAUCCGUGGUUCUGAUGUUGGGAAGUGAAAAUGAAUUGCCUCUGCCCAAACAACCUGGUUUUUGGUUUCACAAGAGUCCCUUUGAAGCAGAUUCUACAUCAGGCAACUACAAAUCAUCUUCUAGAAACGAAAUAAGUCUAUCAAUGUUAGAGGCUCGAUAGAGGGUGGUAUGCUUCAUUAAACCUAUUAUGCUCCAAACCAUCAGCAAUGACUCCAAUCCCACUUGAUGUUUGGGGCAUGUGCUUUUAGAGCCACUGCUAGUGAGAAAUGUUUCAGAAAUCAAACAUGCAAUUAAGCAUAAAUAGUAGUGUUUUGUUUAUUUCAUGGAUAGAUAGAUUGAAGGGCCGAACUGAAGCUUCAUACGGUUAACAUAUACAAAUUCCAUGCAAUCUCAUCAUUUACAAGUUUUUAAUUUAUCUUGUUUUCUGCUGCAUUUAUGUAAUAUCAAGGGCCAGCUAACCUUGUCAACUUGAAAAAUGAUAAUAUUAAUGCAUGAUGAGCCCAUCUUUGCCCUUAAUAUACCAAGUGAGAUAAAUGAAUCAACAAACUAACAUCAUUGUCUCGAUAUCAUUUUGUGCAUAAUCAAACAUUUGUUAUCAACAACAAAAAAAGAUCAUUCAUAAUUCAGGGAUUGCUCAGGUCCUUUUGCUUAAAUCCAGAAGCGGCUUAGUACUAUGAGACUGUAACCUCUUUUUGGGGCACAAAGGAAUGGACUUCACAAGAUUGGUCAAGCUAACUAGCAACUAGAUCUUUAACAGAGGCUAGGGAUUCCAAGGCUAUAGAGUUUCAUCUUCAUCUUUGUUUCAUCGUAGUCCAACUCUUUGGUUAUAGGGGCUUCAAAGGCGUUGGAAGACGUAACGAUCAGGCUGUCAGGGCUUCGCAAAACAAAAAGAAAAGGGAAGAGCACGUUGAUUGUACGUGACUGACAGGUGAUACGAGGUUGGCUUUGCCCUGUUCCAGACAAAGAUUUGGUGGGCCCAACACGUUGGCAAUAAUAUCAAACCUAAGAGUGAUAAUAGAUUGGCAAAACCAUGAACACAUCACUCAUCGCUCAGGGGAGGGGGAUUUGGAAAAAAUUAUGAAGUGGUACCAGCAAUUUUAGGCAUGGGCCGACAUGCUUAAUGGGCUUGUAGUGGACUAGCAAUUUUCUAAUGGGCUUAUUGUGGAUCAAGGACUGUUCUAAUGGGCUUCUAUUGGACAACAAAUGUUGGUUUUUUUUUUGGAAUGGAUUUAUUUAUACAUAAUUACAUAUAUAUUGUAUUUAAGAAAACAAAUGAAAUUUUGAAUUUCCACAUUACUUUUAUUCAUAAUUUUUUAAAUACAUUUUUACUAUCGCAAACCGUUUAUUAUGUUCACUACUCAUAAAUAUAUACAAACUUACAACGACAUAAUAAUUAUUGUAAAACAUUUUUUAUUCAUGAUUAAAUCAAAAUUUUAAUGAUACAGCUUGUCUAUUUCUUUUUCAACAUAAUGAAACUCAUAAAAAUAUUAUUAUUAUUAUCAUCAUAGUCAUAGUUGAAAAUGCUGGUCAACAUUUCAAAAAAAAAGUGAUUAUCUUUUUGUUAAUUAAAGUAAUAGUAAAAUAUCAAGAAACACGGUUUAUCCUAUUAAGAACAAACUAAUUAACAUGAAAAUAGGAAAAAUUCACACGAAGUCAACCCUAUCGGACCCUUGGAAUUUUGAUUGCAAUUUCUUGUAAAUUCAGCCUAAAAGUAUAGGAAGACUUGACUUUUUGAUAAUCAUGUCGACUUCAUAAUAGUUAUUGAGAAGAAAAGAUCUCCAUGAGGGACGUUUUUUUUAAGUCUAGAGAUGCAUGUUUACUUAAUUACUUGCACGUUGAGUGGUCUUGGUUUAAUUACUUAAUUACAGUCUAGUAGUGUACAAUGAAAUUAUUUUUAGGGGUUACUUUAUGAUAAAAUCAAGUGUAAAGUUCCCUGAUUUUUUUGUGUAACAAAGAAUUUUAGCAUCUUUAGUUUACUGAAACAGUUGGGAGCUCUACAUUAAGCUAGGGCAGACAAGAAUAUUCUGUUUCAUGGUUUUUUAAACUUAACUGCAACUUAUUUCAGUUCCUAUGUCUCAAUAAUCUUAACUUCACAGCCAUCAUGUUAGUUAAAGAUAUUGCUAUCUCCAAGAAGAAGUUGUGGCCUAUAGAAUAGUUGUAGUCUCUGUCACGAUUGAUGAAGAAUUCCAAGGUCAGUGGACCCAAAGUCUUGCCUUAAAGCCUGAAGGUCAAUACUGUUUAGAAUGUUCAAUCAAAUGGCAUCUAUUCUUAUCUUCAAAGCAAAUAGCUUUCAGACCAUACAUCCAUGGACAUGGAUAUCCUUUCUUUCAGUGCUUGUUUCCUCAUCAUCUUCUCCAAAGCUUCCAGCGCACUCGACAAGAUUUCUCCGUCUGAGUCACUCACUGAUGGCACGACCUUGGUCUCUAGUGAUGGAAGCUUUGUAUUGGGUUUCUUCACUCCGGGGAGUUCCAAGAAUCGUUACUUGGGAAUUUGGUACAAUAACAUCCCCAUGCAAACUGUUGUAUGGGUUGCAAACAGGAUAAAUCCGAUAAAUGACACCACUG
rnacentral:lncRNA from 1 species